rnacentral:rRNA from 1 species
GACGAACGCGGCGGCGUGCUAAUACAUGCAAGUAGAACGCUGAAGGGAGGAGCUUGCUCCUUCUGGUGAGUUGCGAACGGGUGAGUAACGCGUAGGUAACCUGCCUGUAGCGGGGGAUAACUAUGGAAACGAUAGCUAAUACCGCAUAACAAUGGAUGACCCAUGUCAUUUAUUUGAAAGGGGCAAAUGCUCCACUACAAGAUGGACCUGCGUGUAUUAGCUAGUAGGUGAGGUAACGGCUCACCUAGGCGACGAUACAUAGCCGACCUGAGAGGGUGAUCGGCCACACUGGGACUGAGACACGGCCCAGACUCCUACGGGAGGCAGCAGUAGGGAAUCUUCGGCAAUGGGGGCAACCCUGACCGAGCAACGCCGCGUGAGUGAAGAAGGUUUUCGGAUCGUAAAGCUCUGUUGUAAGUCAAGAACGAGUGUGAGAGUGGAAAGUUCACACUGGACGGAGCUACCAGAAAGAC